rnacentral:rRNA from 1 species
GAUGAACGCUGGCGGCGUGCCUAAUACAUGCCAGUCGAGCGAACAGAUGAGGAGCUUGCUCCUCUGACGUUAGCGGCGGACGGGUGAGUAACACGUGGAUAACCUACCUAUAAGACUGGGAUAACUUCGGGAAACCGGAGCUAAUACCGGAUAAUAUAUUGAACCGCAUGGUUCAAUAGUGAAAGACGGUUUUGCUGUCACUUAUAGAUGGAUCCGCGCCGCAUUAGCUAGUUGGUAAGGUAACGGCUUACCAAGGCAACGAUGCGUAGCCGACCUGAGAGGGUGAUCGGCCACACUGGAACUGAGACACGGUCCAGACUCCUACAGGAGGCAGCAGUAGGGAAUCUUCCGCAAUGGGCGAAAGCCUGACGGAGCAACGCCGCGUGAGUGAUGAAGGUCUUCGGAUCGUAAAACUCUGUUAUUAGGGAAGAACAAAUGUGUAAGUAACUAUGCACGUCUUGACGGUACCUAAUCAGAAAGCCACGGCUAACUACGUG